rnacentral:tRNA from 1 species
UGGUUAACAAUAAUUGUAGUUUUACCAAUAUUUGCGGGUUCCUUAAUUUUCUUUCUUCCCCAUAAAGGAAAU